rnacentral:rRNA from 1 species
AGUGAACGCUGGCGGCGUGCCUAACACAUGCAAGUCGUGCGAGAAAGGGAGCAAUCCUGAGUAAAGCGGCGAACGGGUGAGUAACACGUGGUUAACCUGCCUGGAUGUGGGGGAUACCCCGGGGAAACCCGGGACAAUACCGCAUGAUGUCUCUCGGGCGUCGGCCUGGGAGAGCAAAGCCGGGGACCGCAAGGCCUGGCGCAUCCAGAGGGGACCGCGGCCGAUUAGCUAGUUGGCGGGGUAAUGGCCCACCAAGGCAUCGAUCGGUAGCCGGCCUGAGAGGGUGAACGGCCACACCGGAACUGAGACACGGUCCGGACUCCUACGGGAGGCAGCAGUGGGGAAUUUUGCGCAAUGGGCGAAAGCCUGACGCAGCAACGCCGCGUGGAGGAUGAAGAUCUUCGGGUUGUAAACUCCUUUCGAUCGAGACGAAUGGCCCUUGGGCUAACAUCCUGAGGGAGUGACGGUACCGAGAGAAGAAGCCCCGGCUAAACUCCGUGCCAGCAGCCGCGGUAAU